rnacentral:rRNA from 1 species
UACGUAGGAGGCGAGCGUUGUCCGGAAUUACUGGGCGUAAAGAGCGCGUAGGCGGCACUGUACGACCGCUGUGAAAGCCCCCGGCUCAACUGGGGAGGUCAGUGGUAACGGCAGAGCUGUGAGUGCAGGAGAGGGAAGUGGAACUCCGGGAGUAGCGGUGAAAUGCGUAGAGACCCGGAGGAACACCAGUGGCGAAGGCGGCCAUCUGGGACAACACUGACGCUGAGGCACGAAAGCGUGGGGAGCAAACAGG